GAUGGAGUCUUUCCAGAAUGACGGGCUUCGAGUUGUCAUGUGGACUCUGAGCCAAACUCCCAGUGGGGAUGUGCAUAUACAAAUCAGCCUGAGGCAGAAGAGGGUCUUUAAUAAUCACAGUAACACAGACUGAAUCAAGGAACACCUCAGAAGAGGGAAUGGAAAGAUGGUGAGAGCCAGAGAAGCAGAGAAUCUGUGAGAAUGUAUCUCCUCGAAAUGACAGGGAAAUUUCACCCACAAUACCUCAGCAAUAUGGCUCUCGAAACAAGACUCAAACAAGUGCAACAGCAUUAACUGUGCUAAUACGGAAGGGGAAAAUCUCACUGAUCCUGCCCACAGCCAGAGAACUACAGGAACUGAAGUACAAGAAGAAAAAAGAAAGAAAAAAGGAGAAGAAAAAACUACAUUCAUUUUGACCUUACGUUUUCAGGCUCCUUUUUCCCCUAAGUACCUCCAUUCCUCUGUAACUGUGGGUUCCUGCUUCCUCAGCAUCUCACAGAUGCUCAAGUCCCUCACAGAAAAUGCCAUCAUAUUUGCAUAUAGCCUAUGUACACCCUUCUGUUUAAGGAGACUUCCAGUAUGACAUUUGGUGUAAAUGCUGUGUGAAUACUGCACUUUCUAACUGAGAGAAGGUAAUGACAGUCAGAGGUCUGUACAUGCUCAGUAUGGACACACUUUUCUCAUUGUUGUCAUCCUCCGUUGGUUGAAUCUGCAGAUGUAGAACCUAUGAACAAUGACUAUAAAGUGCAUAGUAGAUGUCAACCUAAUAAUGUGUAUUUGGUUCAUAAGAACCUUUUAAUCAUUUGCAAGAGAAGCUUUGGUGGCCCCAGGUUAUCUAGUAGCUCCCUAGACAGCAGGAAGGUCACAGACGUAUUUCCAUUUUCUAUUGUAUUGUAUACCUGGCAGCAGUUUCCCUUCUCAUCACGGUCACUUAGAGGUCUUUAGGUGGCAGCUGCAGUUUCCACCAUCUACAUCUACAUCUGAACCAGGGCAAUAGCUUUGGGCAGACGUUCUUUGUUGGUUCCUGGGUAAUUGUUCACAUGCAAAUCCUUGGUCAACUUUUACCAGGGGGGUCAGUGAAUAUCUGCAAGGGGAAAAAUCACCUUUAUCUGGUUAUACUGCUAUUUCUGAUAAAAUAGAGGUUUUAUUGCAAAUAC